AUGUUUUCUUUAUUUCUCCAAAGUGCAAUUUUAAAGAAGAAAUUAAAUAUCUGUUUCUCUCAAUCCGUCCUCAGUACCGGAGACCAGCCACUCAGACACCACAUCCAUCCUCAGUACCUGAGACCAGCCACUGUCAGACACCACAUCCAUCCUCAGUACCUGAGACCAGCCACUGUCAGACACCACAUCCAUCCUCAGUACCUGAGACCAGCCACUGUCAGACACCACAUCCAUCCUCAGUACCUGACCAGCCACUGUCAGACACCACAUCCAUCCUCAGUACCUGAGACCAGCCACUGUCAGACACCACAUCCGUCCUCAGUAUUUCUUUCCUGUCUGUAUGACACAUUGUGUGUUAUUCUGGAGUUCCUGUCUGUAUGACACACUGUGUUAUUCUGGAGUUCCUGUCUGUAUGACACACUGUUAUUCUGGAGUUCCUUCUAGGCUCUUAAUGUUGAUCCCACAAAUAAAACGACUUUGUAAAUGGAGCACAUUGUUGUGUUACAGUUUAGUCUGUCCUCCUCUGUCAAUGUUCAGCAUGUUAAAAUGGAGCACAGACAACAGUUUGAUCUCUGUCCUUUUAAUAGUCUCUUAUUUAUGAUUUCUCAGGUCGUUCCUGGCUCUCUUCAUUCAUUUAUCCAUUCAUCCACCCAUCAUGAGCUCAUCUUCAGGCCUUGUCCAUCCAUCCAUCCAUCCAUCCAUCCAUCCAUCCAUCCAUCCAUCCAUCCAUCCAUCCAUCCUCAUAGAAAUAUACACAUUUAUUCCUUACAAUCUUCUUCAGGUUUAGAAUAUAAAACGGGUCCAAGCACAGACAGUCAUGGUUCUGUCCUGUCCGU
rnacentral:lncRNA from 13 species